rnacentral:sRNA from 16 species
GUCAGCACCCCGCUCUAAAGAGCAGGGGCCGAAGCGCCUCUCUCUUAGAUAGCUGACCAGCCUAAGUCUUUGGACUACGUUUUUAGAGUUAUGACACCUACAAAUGCUUGACCGUUUGUAGCCCUGUC